AAAGUCGUAACAAGGUUUCCGUAGGUGAACCUGCGGAAGGAUCAUUCGAGGAGCAAGCAAGCAUGCGUAGCAUGUGAGCGCGCGAACUUAUUUUGUGCUUCGAGAGUCUGCUUGCAGAUCUCACCAAUUAAACAUCAACCAAAAAUUUCUAAAUAACAAAACUAUAAACAACGGAUCUCUAGGCUCUU
rnacentral:misc_RNA from 1 species